GAGGGUAUAGCUCAAUUAGUAGAGUGCAUGCUUAGCAUGAGAUCCUGGGUUCAAUCCCCAGUACCUCCU
rnacentral:tRNA from 1 species